AGGUCCUCGGGUUAAUCAGAGCCACUCUCACACCUGAUACUGGGCUAAACUCUCCCCUAGAAACCUGCAGAGGAAGAUCAGGCAGCCAUCCAAGCUGCAGCCAGAUUUGCUGGAAAGAUGAAAGCAAGGGGAGGUGUGUUUAAAAAAAAAAAAAAAAAAAAAAAAAAAAAAAAACCUUUAGGAUCGGGAGAUUGGGGAGAUGAUAUGUGAACACAAUUUGUAGCAAGGCCUUACAGGACCAAGCAGGCACCGGUCGUGGCUCAAAGCUUCUAUCUCUGAUGCUCCCAAACCUGAGGAGAGCCCACCCACUUGGCUGCACGCACCCUGGGUCUGCAUGCCCUUUUUUGAGUGACAGGCCUGGGUUCAUCUGCAUUAAGCACAUGUGGUCAGGACGCAGCCCCAUGCCCAAUGCCCUCGAUGCCAGUAGGGAGGACUGCACACCGGGCCAGGAUCAGGCAACCUUGCAAGUGGAGCUGGCCCAAAGGAAAUUCAUUUGUAAAGCGACUGGACUCGGGUCAUUGCCGUAGUAGCUGAGAAAGAGCUGAGCAACUGUCACAUACAAAUGAAAACUUUCCGGAUCACUGAAAGUGAGCCCUCCACGUGCCCAAAACUGUUUUUCUUUUCAUGGCUAUUGGUGGAAAUGUUUCAAAUUAAUGUUAUUAAACACUGUCUUGCUUUCUUAAACA